UGCUAAAUAAUGCAUAAAUUAAUAUCUUAUUCAUAGCACUUAUCAUUAUUUUAAUUCAUAUAUUUUGUAAAUUCAACUAAAAAAUGUAUUACCUUCACCAGUGCAUUUUAAUGAAUUAUCAAAGGUAAUUCAAGUUUGAUUUGAUUAUUUAUUGAUUAAGUUUAAUGCAUGCAGGUCAAGUCAAACUCAAUUGGGUAAAGCCUAAACGGACACUACAUCAUUUCACAAUUUUAUAUUUUUCAGAGUCGACUCCAAGAAUUCUUUUCCAAAAUUCAGUGCUUUUCAAGUUCACCUAAAUUUCUUUCCACUCGUUCCAACUCUUUUUCCACAUAACCCAAUUUUCCUAUUUUAAUCUCAAAAACCAAUAAAAUUCUUUCAAUUAUUUGUCUC
rnacentral:lncRNA from 1 species